GCCAGGCUGGAUGGGACUGUGAGCAACCUGCUCUAGAGAGAGGUGUCCCUGCCUAUAUUAAGGGGGUGGAACUGGAUGAUCUUGAAGGUCCCUUCCAACCGAAACCAUUCUAUGAUUCUAUGACUGCCUCAAACUCAAAUCUUCAUCCCUCUGUUCCCCCCAGACACAUUUUCUUGAUGCUGCUUCACCCAAGGCAGUCCUGUCUCCCUGCCUCAACCCACCUUAUGGUUUCAUUUCACACACAGGACAACUUACAAUGUUUUCUCUCCCAUUACCUUUCAGACGAGCUUCACCAUCCCACCAGUUAAUGCAAGAGGAUGCUGUACAGUGACUGACAGCUCUGGCUCCAUUUUCACCUCAACUAUCUAAAUCCAGAGCUCACAGCAUCCCAGAUCGAGUUGCUGGCUAAGCUGAGGUGGAAUACUCCAAAAUUUGUGGCUCAUCUGAUCCAGCCAGUAUUAAGCAAGUCCCUCGGUAGCUGCCCUGGAGGGAGGUGCAUGCAAGGGGCACCCGCAAACCUUGUGGAUAAACGGCUGAGAAUUCUGCUUUUAGGGUGAUUUUUGUCGUUCUUCAGACAAACCCGUGGGGCAGCAGAGGCCAGGUUCACGGAGCUGAGGUCCUGCGCCAGGUGCUGGAAUAGGUUGAGCGGUUGGGACACUUGGAAAUCCUGUGGCAAGAUAAUCUCUGAAGGCAACUCCUCAGUUCCUAUGAAGAAGUGGUCCAGACGUUUCUCCUCCACGCAGCAGCGCAGGUAGUGCAAGAUGUCAUCCAUCCGCAGCAGGAAAUGCCUCUUAUCCCAGCCUUCCAAAGGGAUGGCAGUCAGGAGGUUCAUGAGCACUGUCUUCACUAUAUAGGUACGCCUCACGCUCCCGCAUGCGCAAGAGCGUGACUGCAUCCAACUCAUCACCAACACGUGGCACUCUCUGCACGAACAAGGCAAAGACGAACGCCAAAGCCAUGAUCUGGAAGAGACAGUUCCUCUUCACUCCAUGUGGCCAGGCAAGCCAAAAGGCUAGACGCCCAUGGCAUACGUAGAAAUGCUGGCAGGCACCAGGAUAUGGGUGCAGAGCUGCAGGUAUUUGAUGUAGAAGCUGUCAUGUCAUGCAUGCCUGACCAUGUGCCCAAAGGACUAAGUCACUGCACAGCUCUGUGGCGUCCUUGUGCUGGCCAUGAACUCGGCCUCUGCCUCCCAGCUGCUCAGGAAGAUGUGCUGAAACCCUUGCUGCAGCCCAAACUGUCUCAAUGAGGACAGCUCUCCUGAAGGCAUCCAUCACCUGGAGCUAGUCCUGAGAGCACUGCAGGAAGCACAGCAUGUGUCCCACUAGUAGCUCCCUCAUGCACAUGCACAUGCGCUGCAGCUCCACAAAGAAGCAGCAGAUCCUUGUUGACAUCUCCACAGGUGGGAGAAGGGGAUUCCAUUUGCACAGCUCCAGCAACCUCACAAAGAAGCUAUAUGGGAGCUGGAGCCGCGACUGCAGGGCCUACAGCUGCCCCUGGGGCACCGUGGCCACGUACCCGUGAGGCCGCAUCGCAGUGGAGCUUCCCCUCCGGUGCGGCACCACAAUGGCCCCUGGCAGCGGUGGUCAAAGCCAAGAUGGGCAACAGCCAGGUCCACGGUGCAGGAGAGCUGCAGGGCCAACCGCUUCGUUUCUGCGGAGCCCUGGGCACGGCCUCAGCGCUCGGCCACGCUGCCCCAUCGGGCCUGGAGACCGGCAUUGCAUCCAGGCCAGGGGCAAUGGCCCUGAUGGGGGAAAGAAGGGCUGGAUGGCAGGGAUCGAUGUACCUAACAGACCCCAGCGGCUGUCGGUGGGACAGCAGUGUGCCUGACAGACCCCAGAGGCUGUCGGUG